UAGUUGGUGAGGUAAUGGCUCACCAAGGCUAUGACGCAUAACUGGUCUGAGAGGAUGAUCAGUCACACUGGAACUGAGACACGGUCCAGACUCCUACGGGAGGCAGCAGUAGGGAAUAUUGCUCAAUGGGGGAAACCCUGAAGCAGCAACGCCGCGUGGAGGAUGACACUUUUCGGAGCGUAAACUCCUUUUCUUAGGGAAGAAAUUUGACGGUACCUAAGGAAUAAGCACCGGCUAACUCCGUGCCAGCGGCCGCGGUAAUACGGAGGGUGCAAGCGUUACUCGGAAUCACUGGGCGUAAAGGACGCGUAGGCGGAUUAUCAAGUCUUUUGUGAAAUCUAAUGGCUCAACCAUUAAACUGC
rnacentral:rRNA from 1 species